UCUCUCUCUCUCUCUCUCUCUCUCUCUCUCUCUCUCCCUCUCCCUCUCUCUCUCUCUUCCCCUCUCCCUCUUCCUCUCCCUCUCCCUUUCUUUCUCUUUUUCUCUCUUUCUCUCUCUCUUUCUGUCUGAGGAUCAGGAUGUAGCUCUCAACUGCUGUUCCGGGCCCCCCCCCUUGCUACCUUGCCUCCUGCCACGCUGCUGACGACUCACAGACUCAGGCUCUGACUCUGCUAUAGGUCACAGCAGUGAGAAAAGCAACCUAGUCAAGCAUCCAGACACUUGCUGGUGAUAAUUACAACCACCGGCCCCUUGCAGAGUGUCUCUUCCUUGUGAUUCAACAGUGUUGCAACCCACCUCCGGUUAUUUGUUUGCUCGGAUACCUGGAGAUCCUCCAACUAAGUCCCCAAGGGGAACCUGCUGGAGUCUGCAAACAUCGCUGGAAAAGGACCUCCGGUGCUGCCAAGCUGCGCAGCAGCUCUAGAAAACAAUUCCGUUCACCCUGAGGGGGAUGAGACCUCUGCCUGAGAAGAUCCCGAGUUCAAAAGCUGGCUCUGGCCUGGACGCCUGGCUCCAAACUCCCACGCCAGGCCCGCUGCUGCGAUCCUGAGCCCGCUCGGCUCAGAAUCCUCCCCGCUCCACGUUCACACCUCAGACCCUUCUGCUCUUCGGCUUUCUUCCUGGGGAUGACCCGAAACCUUAAGGCCUUCAUUCACCAAGCCCUGUUGGGUUUACUUUCUAUUAUUUUUUAAUCCAUCUUCUGCCAUAAGGUUGAAUGAGAGCUCUCACUUCAGAGGGCUUCGGGAUUAGACCACACACCCGCGUCUUGCUCACCCGUAUCUCUUAGCCGCACAGUUUUUCAAAGUCACUUUUUGAUUCAUUUGUUUUGUUUUGUUCUUUGAGACAGGAUUUCUCUGUGUAGCUGCCCUGGAACUCGCGCUGUAGACCAGGCUGGCCUCCAACUCAAAGAGAUUCACCUGCCUCUGCCACUGCUGGGAUUAAAGGCGUGCACCACCACCUGCCGGCACUUACAGUUUUGCCGUGUCUGCCACCCAGAUGCCCUUGGUUCCUGCUUCAUUUCUUGUCCGGGUUACCCUGCCCUCUGACAAUUAUGGGGAUUGCCCUGUAACUUUCCAAUAAA